AUUCAUAACUUUUAAGAAGCAUUUGAUUUGAAAUCAAAUUGGUUGUUUUUGAUAACAAUAUGAAUU
rnacentral:tRNA from 1 species